rnacentral:rRNA from 1 species
GACAGAGGCCUCGAGCGUUAGGCGGAAUCACUGGGCUUAAAGCGUGUGUAGGCGGGCCCGUAAGUGUCUUGUGAAAUCCCUCGGCUCAACCGGGGAACUGCGUGUGAUACUGGCGGGCUUGAAUUCGGGAGAGGGAUGUGGAAUUCCAGGUGUAGCGGUGAAAUGCGUAGAUAUCUGGAGGAACACCGGUGGCGAAGGCGGCAUCCUGGACCGAGAUUGACGCUGAGGCGCGAAAGCUAGGGGAGCAAACGGG